rnacentral:rRNA from 1 species
CGAUAGCAUAUAUUAACGUUGUUGCAGUUGAAAAGCUCGUAGUUGAACUUUUGGUAGGAGCGACCUGGCCUUGGGCGCAUGCCCUUGUUUGCCGUGUGUCGUGUCUGGCCAUCCUUUUCCGCUUCGGCGGGAAUCUUUUACUGUGAGUAAACUGGAGUGCUCAAAACAAGACGUUUGUUUGGUACAUUAAAGCAUGGAAUAAUAAGAUAGGACCUGGUUACUAUUUUGUUGGUUUGCAUAGCUAGGUAAUGAUUAACAGGGACAGUUGGGGGUAUUCGUAUUUAAUUGUCAGAGGUGAAAUUCUUGGAUUUAUGAAAGACGAACGACUGCGAAAGCAUUUACCAAGGAUGUUUUCAUUAA